AGAGUUUGAUCAUGGCUCAGAUUGAACGCUGGCGGCAGGCCUAACACAUGCAAGUCGAGCGGUAGCACAGAGAGCUUGCUCUCGGGUGACGAGCGGCGGACGGGUGAGUAAUGUCUGGGAAACUGCCUGAUGGAGGGGGAUAACUACUGGAAACGGUAGCUAAUACCGCAUAAUGUCGCAAGACCAAAGUGGGGGACCUUCGGGCCUCAUGCCAUCAGAUGUGCCCAGAUGGGAUUAGCUAGUAGGUGGGGUAACGGCUCACCUAGGCGACGAUCCCUAGCUGGUCUGAGAGGAUGACCAGCCACACUGGAACUGAGACACGGUCCAGACUCCUACGGGAGGCAGCAGUGGGGAAUAUUGCACAAUGGGCGCAAGCCUGAUGCAGCCAUGCCGCGUGUGUGAAGAAGGCCUUCGGGUUGUAAAGCACUUUCAGCGGGGAGGAAGGCGUUAAGGUUAAUAACCUUAGCGAUUGACGUUACCCGCAGAAGAAGCACCGGCUAACUCCGUGCCAGCAGCCGCGGUAAUACGGAGGGUGCAAGCGUUAAUCGGAAUUACUGGGCGUAAAGCGCACGCAGGCGGUCUGUCAAGUCGGAUGUGAAAUCCCCGGGCUCAACCUGGGAACUGCAUUCGAAACUGGCAGGCUAGAGUCUUGUAGAGGGGGGUAGAAUUCCAGGUGUAGCGGUGAAAUGCGUAGAGAUCUGGAGGAAUACCGGUGGCGAAGGCGGCCCCCUGGACAAAGACUGACGCUCAGGUGCGAAAGCGUGGGGAGCAAACAGGAUUAGAUACCCUGGUAGUCCACGCCGUAAACGAUGUCGAUUUGGAGGUUGUGCCCUUGAGGCGUGGCUUCCGGAGCUAACGCGUUAAAUCGACCGCCUGGGGAGUACGGCCGCAAGGUUAAAACUCAAAUGAAUUGACGGGGGCCCGCACAAGCGGUGGAGCAUGUGGUUUAAUUCGAUGCAACGCGAAGAACCUUACCUGGUCUUGACAUCCACAGAACUUUCCAGAGAUGGAUUGGUGCCUUCGGGAACUGUGAGACAGGUGCUGCAUGGCUGUCGUCAGCUCGUGUUGUGAAAUGUUGGGUUAAGUCCCGCAACGAGCGCAACCCUUAUCCUUUGUUGCCAGCGGUCCGGCCGGGAACUCAAAGGAGACUGCCAGUGAUAAACUGGAGGAAGGUGGGGAUGACGUCAAGUCAUCAUGGCCCUUACGACCAGGGCUACACACGUGCUACAAUGGCAUAUACAAAGAGAAGCGACCUCGCGAGAGCAAGCGGACCUCAUAAAGUAUGUCGUAGUCCGGAUUGGAGUCUGCAACUCGACUCCAUGAAGUCGGAAUCGCUAGUAAUCGUAGAUCAGAAUGCUACGGUGAAUACGUUCCCGGGCCUUGUACACACCGCCCGUCACACCAUGGGAGUGGGUUGCAAAAGAAGUAGGUAGCUUAACCUUCGGGAGGGCGCUUACCACUUUGUGAUUCAUGACUGGGGUGAAGUCGUAACAAGGUAACCGUAGGGGAACCUGCGGUUGGAUCACCU
rnacentral:rRNA from 1 species